rnacentral:snoRNA from 1 species
GUGCAGCCAGAAUAAUCGAACACCUCUACUCAUGGGGCCCAGUGUGCACUAGCUACAAAUAGCAGCCUCCUAGAAGCGUACAGUGGUUGCUUUUUGAUUUACCCUAAGAGACCCUGGAGAUGGCC